AGAGUUUGAUCAUGGCUCAGGAUGAACGCUAGCGACAGGCUUAACACAUGCAAGUCGAGGGGCAGCAUGAUUUGUAGCAAUACAGAUUGAUGGCGACCGGCGCACGGGUGAGUAACGCGUAUGCAACUUACCUAUCAGAGGGGGAUAGCCCGGCGAAAGUCGGAUUAAUACCCCAUAAAACAGGGGUCCCGCAUGGGAAUAUUUGUUAAAGAUUCAUCGCUGAUAGAUAGGCAUGCGUUCCAUUAGGCAGUUGGCGGGUAACGGCCACCAACCGACGAUGGAUAGGGGUUCUGAGAGGAACGGUCCCCCACAUUGGUACUGAGACCACGGACCAACUCCUACGGGAGCA
rnacentral:rRNA from 1 species